rnacentral:rRNA from 1 species
AUUGAACGCUGGCGGCAGGCCUAACACAUGCAAGUCGAGCGGAUGAAGGGAGCUUGCUCCUGGAUUCAGUGGCGGACGGGUGAGUAAUGCCUAGGAAUCUGCCUGGUAGUGGGGGAUAACGUCCGGAAACGGGCGCUAAUAUCGCAUACGUCCUGAGGGAGAAAGUGGGGGAUCUUCGGACCUCACGCUAUCAGAUGAGCCUAGGUCGGAUUAGCUAGCUGGUGGGGUAAAGGCCUACCAAGGCGACGAUCCGUAACUGGUCUGAGAGGAUGAUCAGUCACACUGGAACUGAGACACGGUCCAGACUCCUACGGGAGGCAGCAGUGGGGAAUAUUGGACAAUGGGCGAAAGCCUGAUCCAGCCAUGCCGCGUGUGUGAAGAAGGUCUUCGGAUUGUAAAGCACUUUAAGUUGGGAGGAAGGGCAGUAAGUUAAUACCUUGCUGUUUUGACGUUACCAACAGAAUAAGCACCGGCUAACUUCGUG